AACGCGAAGAACCUUACCUGGAUUUGACAUGUAGUCGACAGGAUCAGAGAUGAUCUAUUCCCGCAAGGGACGAUUAUGCAGGUGCUGCAUGGCUGUCGUCAGCUCGUGCCGUGAGGUGUUGGGUUAAGUCCCGCAACGAGCGCAACCCUUGUCUUUAGUUGCCAGCACGUAAUGGUGGGCACUCUAACGAGACUGCCUGGGUUAACCAGGAGGAAGGUGAGGAUGACGUCAAGUCCGCAUGGCCUUUAUGUCCAGGGCUACACACGUGCUACAAUGGCCGGUACAGAGGGCAGCAAAACCGCGAGGUAGAGCAAAUCCUAAAAGCCGGCCCCAGUUCGGAUUGAAGUCUGCAACUCGACUUCAUGAAGUUGGAAUUGCUAGUAUGGCGAGUCAGCAACAUUGCCGUGAAUACGUUCCCGGGCCUUGUACACACCGCACUACUA
rnacentral:rRNA from 1 species